UUCCAUAGAAGUAGUUGAUUCAGGCCACAUUAUUUGAAAAUAUUAAAAUACACAAAAGUAUUUAAAUAACAUGUAUUGGAACCCUAUGAUGUGAGUCAGCAGCUAACUUUAUAUUCUGGACCUCUAUCGUUUUUGUUUUAUUCCGUUUAGCAUGUUAUUAAUCAUAUUUAAUUAAGUAAUGGAAGAUUUACUCCCCGAUUAAUAUUUUAGGUAUCACCCACAGUGCAUUGUGAAAAAGUGGCAGAUUGUUCUCUUACCUGGAUAAAGUUGGCAUCAUCACUGCGGUUGUUACUGCUGUUGUUCAGCUUCAGCCCCCGUCCUUGCUGCAUCCACCCGUUCUUCUAGCCUGUCCAUCCUGGCGUGGAUUCUCUGGCGCUCUGCCCUCAGCUCCUCAGCACUCGCAUGCACCUCAACAGACAUGUUGACCACCAUCUCCUGGGCUCUGAUCUUCAGUGCCUCUCCACCCUCCUGCAGGCUCUUGGUCUCCCUGCCCAAGUUGGCCACUGUGCCAUUGAAGGCUUUCAGCUUGAUGGAGAUGUCUCUCAUCUGGCUCUUGGUUUUCUCAACGUGUUCUUUGAGGCCCUGGCCCAGCUGGAGAAGCCGAGAAUUCAGCAAUACGGCCAACCUGCCUCACAACCGCAGACCAUGUGUAACCAUACCAGCUUAGGACCUCCACAUCCAGGUUCUUCACCUGCGGGAUCGGAUGAGUCCAGCCACCCUGACAGCUGAUGAAACUGAGGAGUUUUUCUGUCUGUAAUAAAGACAUUUUGUGGGGGAAAAAUAUUUAUGUUUGGGUGGGCCUGGCUCUCCAGUGGGUGGGUCUAUGCCCACCCAUGGCUGUGCUGUGCCCCUGACCUGUUAUGUGAAAUCCAUAGAUAAGGUUCUGAGUUUGUCAACUGACUGAUUUCCUAAAUACGUAUGAACUGUAACUCGUUGAAAUUGUUGUAUGUUAAGCAGUGCGGCUUGACGGGGUCGUGAUUCAGAGGACGCAUGGCUCUCGACCUUCGCCUAUUCCGAGUCUGUACAGGUGUUGCAGCGAUGGGACAAGAC
rnacentral:lncRNA from 1 species